UUAGAAGUGUGUAAGGAAACAGAAGUAGCAUGCGAGCCAAUGCUAGCAGCGCAGGUCGGCAUGUGCGACAGCAUGAAGGAUUCUGAUGCUCCAUGGUUUCCUCUGUUCACGAUGAUGAAUAUAUCUUCUUGUCCUAUACCUGUGGGCCAAUACCCAAUCAAAAACCUGCAUUUAUCAGUGGAACAAUUCAAAGGUUGUCUUAGCCGGGACUUCUGUGGAUUUUACGCAGCUAAAAUCAACAUUUUGAAGAAAUUGGAUGUUGUAGCAUGUUACAUGGUAUAUUUGGAAGUUGUUGAAAAACAAGACGAUUGACAGAAGAUUAAGUUGUAUUUAUAUAUUUUGUUUAUAUUGUAUACUUGACGACGGUGAUCCUUUAUUAAACAAUUAAGCUUUAGUA